rnacentral:rRNA from 1 species
CAGUAGCCGCGGGAAUACGUAGGGUGCAAGCGUUAAUCGGAAUUACUGGGCGUAAAGCGUGCGCAGGCGGUUAUAUAAGUCAGAUGUGAAAUCCCCGGGCUCAACCUGGGAACUGCAUUUGAGACUGUAUGGCUAGAGUGUGUCAGAGGGGGGUAGAACUCCACGUGUAGCAGUGAAAUGCGUAGAUAUGUGGAGGAACACCAGUGGCGAAGGCGACCACCUGGACUAAUACUGACACUGAGGUGCGAAAGCGUGGGGAGCAAACAGGAUUAGAUACCCGUGUAGUCCCUGUCUCUUAUAA